GUGCCAGCCGCCGCGGUAAUACAGAGACUGCAAGCGUUACUCGGAUUCACUGGGCGUAAAGGGAGCGCAGGCGGACCGGUGUGUCAGAUGUGAAACCCCAGGGCUCAACCCUGGGACUGCGUCUGAAACUGCCGGUCUAGGGACUCGGAGGGGCUAGUGGAAUUCCUGGUGGAGCAGUGAAAUGCGUAGAUAUCAGGAGGAACACCAACGGCGAAGGCAGCUAGCUGGACGAGAUCCGACGCUCAGGCUCGAAAGUAUGGGGAGCAAAAAGGAUUAGAAACCCCGGUAGUCC
rnacentral:rRNA from 1 species